rnacentral:rRNA from 1 species
AGGAUGAACGCUGGCGGUCUGCUUAACACAUGCAAGUCGAACGGAGUACCUCGGUACUUAGUGGCGGACGGGUGAGUAACGCGUGAGAAUCUGCCCUUAGGUCGGGGACAACCAUUGGAAACGAUGGCUAAUACCGGAUAAGCCGAGAGGUAAAAGAUUAAUUGCCUAGGGAAGAGCUCGCGUCUGAUUAGCUAGUUGGUGAGGUAAAGGCUCACCAAGGCAUCGAUCAGUAGCUGGUCUGAGAGGAUGAUCAGCCACACUGGGACUGAGACACGGCCCAGACUCCUACGGGAGGCAGCAGUGGGAAUUUUCCGCAAUGGGCGAAAGCCUGACGGAGCAAGACCGCGUGAGGGAGGAAGGCUCUUGGGUUGUAAACCUUCUUUUCUUGGGGAAGAACAAAAUGACGGUACCCAAGGAAUCAGCAUCGGCUAACUCCGUGCCAGCAGCCGAC